rnacentral:lncRNA from 1 species
AUGUGUACUCUCCGUACAAGACGUUCAUGGUGCUGCCGAAAGUCGGGCCACGCUUGGACAAAGUGUCGUUCUUUGUAGGUUUCCAGUUUCCAACAAAGAUGUCGUGAGCCGAGGGCUGAUAUUUCUUGAUUGGAGUCAUCCAUCUCCAGAUUGCAGCUUGGAAUGCAAGUGUCGCAUUCUGCUCGAUGUACUCGGGGUGGUUCAAGAGAUCAGCUUUCAGGGCUUCCCCAGCUGC